rnacentral:lncRNA from 1 species
CCUAGAUGAUUACAUUAUUUUCCCUUUUAAUAUGUUAAUACAGUAUAUUUUAUAUAUUUCCAAAUAUUGUAUAUUCUUGAAUUCUCAGAAUAACCAUAUUAGGUGAUAAUAUACCAUUCUUUUGAAGUACCACCGAGUUUAAAUAAUUUUAUUUUGCUUUAUUUUACAUAGGUUUUUUACAUCUAUGUUAGAAUGCAACUUUGGCCUAUCACUUUAUUUAUGUGUGCCAUCCUUGUAAGCUUGGUA